rnacentral:sRNA from 1 species
AUUUUUAACAUCAUUAUAUAAUAUAUAGAGUUUAAAAAAAUCUUAAUUUUUUCCAUCAUAUUGUAUGAUUCAAUAUUUUUAAAAUGAACAUAUAUUAACCAAUUAGCAAAACAAUGUGUGGGUUCAACGUCCCGCAUCGACAAAAAUAUUUAGACAAUGAUUUAUAAACAUAUCAUAAAUAAGAUCAACAUUAAUAUAAAUAAUUGGUUUUUUUACGGGACGGAUUUGGCGGGAUGAGUUUGGCAGGACGUUACUUAACAACAAUUGUAAAUUAUAAAAUAAAAAUAUAUUAUAGAUAGAUACAAUUUGCAAAAAAAAA